rnacentral:lncRNA from 1 species
UGUGUCUCAGCCUCUCUCUAUGUCUCUCUCACGAAAAAAUAAAUAAAAUCUUUAAAAAAAAAACAAAAGAAAACGGCAGAAGUGCUUGAAUAGCAUAUUUAACAAAUCUUUGAAUAUCACAGGAUCAUAAACAAUUGCAUGGGAUUAAAAAAACACACUUUUUUCUGUGCUUUACUUAGUGCACUCAUGAAGAGCAUGCAUGGCCUCUGCUAAUAAACAUUUUCUCCGAAAAGGAAUUUACAGUCUCCUGAGGAAGUCCAGUUCAAAUCAUAAGUUUCUUAAGUAAAUGGUUGAAGACAGAAGACUUAUUAUAGAUUUUAUAUCCAGCCCAUGAGGAUUUUAACUGAUUCCACCGAGCAGGCUCAGCUGAAACGCUGCCACGUCCUAGGACCACGCCAGAAGUCACUGGAUGUAAUAUGAUUACUCUGAGCAAAUACACAAACUCACAAGUGAUUGCAGUGUCCUGGGGAUAAGAAUCAGAAAAACCAAAAGAAUUGAGCUGAUGAAUUGUGUGAGAGAAGGCAGCUCUCCUUGGAGCAUGAAACAGUAUGUGGCAUGUGGAUCCUCAGCCUUCUUGCAUCCCAACUUUUGAUGGCCAACUUCUUUCAUUACAAAGAACUCAGGACAAAAUCUUUGCAAAGCAGAAUGAUUCCUAAAGUGCAGGAAAUUCUGAGUGUGCCCUCAUGAAAAAUAUUUACAACUCUCAACAGUAAGAAAAGACUUCUGGCAAAUUAGCAUUAAAGAUUUCUUUGGGUAAGUAUGUAAAACUAUCAUUCACCUUAACAGUUUUAAGAAACAAACUACUUAUAAAAACCAACAGGUGGAAAAAAAAUAGAGUUCAGAACAACAAGUAAGAAAAUAAUCUGUAGAAAUCAGGUUUUGAUAAUUUUCCCUGAUAUUUAAUCUCAUACAUGGCAUUUCAUCUCUCAUACUUAGCUUUUGGUUUCAUGUCUGAGCCACCAUUAUUAGGCAACUAGCUCUUGAAAAUGAA